rnacentral:rRNA from 1 species
UACGGAGGAUCCAAGCGUUAUCCGGAAUCAUUGGGUUUAAAGGGUCCGUAGGCGGGCCUGUAAGUCAGUGGUGAAAUCCGGCGGCUUAACCGUCGAACUGCCAUUGAUACUGCAGGUCUUGAAUUAUUGGGAAGUAACUAGAAUAUGUAGUGUAGCGGUGAAAUGCUUAGAUAUUACAUGGAAUACCGAUUGCGAAGGCAGGUUACUAUCAAUAUAUUGACGCUGAUGGACGAAAGUGUGGGGAUCAAACAGG